UACGUAGGGUGCGAGCGUUAAUCGGAAUUACUGGGCGUAAAGCGUGCGCAGGCGGUUUUGUAAGCCAGAUGUGAAAUUCCCGGGCUUAACCUGGGGAUGGCACUUGGGACUGCAAGGCUCGAGUGCGGCAGAGGAGACUGGAAUUCCUGGUGUAGCAGUGAAAUGCGUAGAUAUCAGGAGGAACACCGAUGGCGAAGGCAGGUCUCUGGGCUGACACUGACGCUCAUGCACGAAAGCGUGGGGAGCAAACAGG
rnacentral:rRNA from 1 species